UCCGGAAUCAUUGGGCGUAAAGCGCCUGUAGGUUGUUUAAUAAGUCUGUUGUUAAAGACUAGGGCUCAACCCUAGAAAAGCAAUGGAAACUACUAGACUAGAGUAUGGCAGGGGUAGAGGGAAUUUCUAGUGUAGCGGUGAAAUGCGUAGAUAUUAGAAAGAACACCGGUGGCGACAGCGCUCUACUGGACCAUUACUGACACUCAGAGGCGAAAGCUAGGGUAGCAAAAGGGAUUAGAUACCCCUGUAGUCCUAGCCGUAAACGAUGGAUACUAGAUGUUGUGCGUAGUGUACAGUGUCCUAGCUAACGCGUUAAGUAUCCCGCCUGGGGAGUACGCUCGCAAGGGUGAAACUCAAAGGAAUUGACGGGGGCCCGCACAAGCGGUGGAGCAUGUGGUUUAAUUCGAUGCAACGCGAAGAACCUUACCAGGGCUUGACAUACUACAAAUUCUUUAGAGAUAAAGAAGUGCCUUCGGGAAUGUAGAUACAGGUGGUGCAUGGCUGUCGUCAGCUCGUGUCGUGAGAUGUUGGGUUAAGUCCCGCAACGAGCGCAACCCUUAUUUUUAGUUACUAAUUCGUUAGGUUCUCUAGAAAGACUGCCGGUGACAAACCGGAGGAAGGUGAGGAUGACGUCAAGUCAGCAUGCCCCUUAUGUCCUGGGCUACACACGUGCUACAAUGGUUAAGACAAAGAGUCGCGAGCUCGCGAGAGUCGGCUAAUCUCAUAAACUUAGCCUAAGUUCAGAUUGUAGGCUGCAA
rnacentral:rRNA from 1 species